AACAAACACCGGAAACAGGGAGAUUCAGGGGCUUUUAUCUGUUUUCCUUCCAGGUCCGUUAGGAAAGUGACGCCGUGUUCCUCGAGAUGUUAAUGAGUCUGAAGCUCGUCACCGCCGUGGGUUACUCAGGCAGAGACUCAGCGACACAAUGAGGAAACUGUGGCAUGGAGAGGCAAGCCAGGACGGGCUCCAGAGAUGCAAAACAGCUUUGCACAACCAGCUCCUCAUCGUCGGGACAAUGUGCCCUGGGUCUGGAGCUGUCCAAGGAUGUGAGGACCCCACUGGGGUCCCCCUGCAAAGGGAUGCCCCAGUGUCAAUAUCUGAGUGCUUCACAAAGUGCCCUUGUCCUUGGCCAGUGGUGUGUGUCCGCAGGGGCCAGCCAGGCGUUAUUCAUGGCAUUGGCAUGUGAUUCCCGGCACCGGUGGGCGGCCGGGGCUGACCGGGCGCGUUUGCUGAUGCCCAGGGAGCCGAGGGGCAGCUGCACUGUGCCAGCAGCCCGGCGGUGCCAAGCUGCACCACGGGGUGCUUCAGCUUUUGCCGGCCCACGGCACUGCACGGAACACCCAGCGCCUUCGAGAUGAGCCUUGCCAACAGGAUGAAACCAGAUCUGCCAGUGAUUCCCGGGGGAGCGGCACGGCUCCCUGCCAGAUCUGUUCUUUGCCAGCCACUGGCAGCCGGCCCUUCCCACAAAGGCGUGGGGAGAACCAAGGGGAGGCUGGCACAGGCCCGUGCCUGGGGCUCCUGAGACCCAGCAUUUACUCAGAGCUAGGUCUUGACAUUCAAAACUUUUUUUAAAAUUUCCAUUUCCUAAAAAACACCACAAACAGAAACAUCACAGUGAACUAGCCCAGCACUUCCUCCGGUGCCAGGGCAACACGACACCUGGCUCGGUGGCAUGCGAAGAAUUGUGGCUUCAGCAGCAGCCACACACACUCUGCAAAGGACCAGGUACACCUGCACUGGACUGAAGCUGAUGUGACACAGUAACAAAGUAGUGCAAGGACAUCUCUGCCCACAGUGGGUACAAACAGUGGUCCCUGCCAUGCACUCCCACCACGCAGUUUUCUUUGAGAGCAACCCCAUUUCUCCUCCCGCACAUCCCCCUUCCAAACCACUCCCUUGGGUUUCAAAUUACUUCUAAAACACCCUGUCCACUCACAGGUCUAAUCCCCCUUCACAUGAGCAAGGUCCUCAUCGCCUGCCUGUGCUGCAGGCGCCAGGGACGGGAGGUGCAGAGCAGUGCAAAGUAGCUCAGGACCACCCCAAAUCAGGCUCCCGGCUAUUUGGCACAGAAAGCGAGGUGCUGGAGCCUAGUGAAGGCAAAGUCUGCAGCCUUCCAUGAGCCAGGGGGAAGGGUGGAAACAACUUCCCGCUUCAGUAGGGAAGGUGAUGGACCUUGAUCCGCAAGGAUUGUGCCACCACAGGUGCCAUGGCUGCUUUGGGAUUCCCGGAGCAGAGGACAUCCCACACGUUUGCAUCACCCCACUGCUUGGUUUAAUUUCCAGCUCCAAGCCCCCAGUUUCCCUGGCUGCCACGGGACAAGGCUCCCGUGGGAAGCAGCUCACAUGGCCGGACCGUGGCUAAAGCGGCCGGACCGUGGCUAACAGAGCCGCCUUUGAAGUCCGGCCGUCCCCAGGCCCCGGGGAGCUGGGCCGGCUCUGAAACGCACGCUCACAGCAGCCAGAGCCGCGGGAGCAUCGCGGCGAUCCAAGCCUCCCACUGCGGGUCAUCCCGACCGGCUCCUUCGGGAAGCGCCAUAAAUCCACCUCCCGGGAAUAAUGCUGCUAAACCUGGGAUUAGGCUCCCCUGGAAAGGGGAAUUAGGUGCAGACCCCUCGGACCAGCGAGGAAAGGACUUGCUGCUGUUGGUGGAACAAAGAGUCUUUUGUCCGCAUUUGACGUUAUCAGGAGUUAUUUUUAGGUCAACGCCUGCACUUGCUGGUGUUGUCAGGAUUAUCUGUAAAUCGACAGACCUUCAAAGACACUGCCUGAGCGCGAAGAGGGAGGAAAUCCUUGUGUUGUCUCUUGCAAGGGACAUUUGCCCUUGGGCUCGGCCUGAUAAGGGUUUAUUGCUCGAAGUGGGGAAUUCCUAUGAAAGCCCUACAACUUCUUAAGAGUCCUAAGAGCUCCUAAAUCCAUUAAAGCUCCUAAAUAUGCUUAAA